AUUGAACGCUGGCGGCAGGCCUAACACAUGCAAGUCGAACGAGUGGCGGACGGGUGAGUAAUGUCUGGGAAACUGCCUGAUGGAGGGGGAUAACUACUGGAAACGGUAGCUAAUACCGCAUACCAUCAGAUGUGCCCAGAUGGGAUUAGCUAGGUGGUGGGGUAACGGCUCACCAAGGCUAAGAUCCCUAGCUGGUCUGAGAGGAUGACUCGACACACUGGAACUAAGACACGGUCCAGACUCCGACGGGAGGCCGCAGUGGGAAAUAUUUGACAAUGGGCGAGAGCCUGAUGAAGCAAUGCCGGGUGAAUGAAGAAGGCCUUCGGGUUGUAAAGUACUUUCAGCGGGGAAGCGUUACCAGCAGCAGAAGCACAGGCUAACUCCGUGCCAGCCGCCGCGGUAAUAC
rnacentral:rRNA from 1 species